rnacentral:rRNA from 1 species
CCUACGGGAGGCAGCAGUGGGGAAUAUUGGACAAUGGGCGAAAGCCUGAUCCAGCAAUUCCGCGUGUGUGAAGAAGGCCUUCGGGUUGUAAAGCACUUUAGUGGGGGAAGAAACAGCUUGGCCGCACCAAGCCUUGACGGUACCCCAAGAAUAAGCACCGGCUAACUCUGUGCCAGCAGCCGCGGUAAUACAGAGGGUGCAAGCGUUAAUCGGAUUUACUGGGCGUAAAGGGUGCGUAGGUGGCUAUUUAAGUCGGAUGUGAAAGCCCGGGGCUCAACCUCGGAAUUGCAUUCGAUACUGAGUGGCUAGAGUUCGGUAGAGGGCGGCGGAAUUUCCGGUGUAGCGGUGAAAUGCGUAGAUAUCGGAAGGAACAUCAAUGGCGAAGGCAGCCGCCUGGGCCUGGACUGACACUGAGGCACGAAAGCGUGGGUAGCAAACAGGAUUAGAUACCCUGGUAGUCCACGCCGUAAACGAUGAGAACUUGACUUGGUCGUUUUACGAAUCGGUGUCGCNGCUACGACGAUAGUUACUCCGUCCGUGGGAGGUACGGCCGCGAGGUAGAACGUACGUAAGGUAAGUAGUUAGCGUGAGACGUGCCGACGGACGACGACGAGGGAGGAGG